UCACUGGCCAAGGAGAAUCAAAGAGCUGGAUGCUGAGAAUAAUGCAGCCAUAACGUGAAAUCUUUUUGAGACCACUCACUCUGGGAGAAAGCAACUGCUAUGUCAUGAGGAAAUUGAAACCACCUAUGGAGAAAGGCCCACAUGGUGAGAAAGUAAAGCCUCUUCCCAAUACCAAAAUUCUGUAAGUCUGCUACGGUGACAUUUCUGGUUAGGAGUCAGAGUGGAUGGGACACUGAGCAAUAAGAAUGCAGAGACAUGAUGGCUGAAGCUGGAGCUUUUCCCUGAAGCAACCACCUGUUGGAAACUUCAUGUUGAAGAUGACUGAGUAAUAAGACAGAGGGGUCUGGGUCCCUGGUGGAUAUUCCAGAUCUGGGUGUUCGUGGAGAUAUGAGAAAGCAAUAAACUUCAAUUUUGCUUAAAU
rnacentral:antisense_RNA from 1 species